GAUGAAGAACGCAGCGAAAUGCGAUACGUAAUGUGAAUUGCAGAAUUCAGUGAAUCAUCGAGUCUUUGAACGCACAUUGCGCCCCCUGGUAUUCCAGGGGGCAUGCCUGUCCGAGCGUCAUUGCUGCCCUCAAGCACGGCUUGUGUGUUGGGCCUCCGUCCUCCUCCCGGGGGACGGGCCCGAAAGGCAGCGGCGGCACCGCGUCCGGUCCUCGAGCGUAUGGGGCUUCGUCGCCCGCUCUUGUAGGCCCGGUCGGCGCUUGCCGACACAUCAAUCUUUUUUCCAGGUUGACCUCGGAUCAGGUAGGGAUACCCGCUGAACUUAAGCAUAUCAAUAAGCGGAGGA
rnacentral:misc_RNA from 1 species